GUCUUUCAUUGAGCUCUUCUGCCUAGGUGGACUCCUGUCUUUGAGCAGCAUAGGGAUGGAUGGUUUCUCCAGGAGGGUGGCUUCCUUAGAAAUUGAUCCCAAGAAGGACACCUUCCCUGAAGCCCUGUAGGGAUAAUGGAGGUCCAGGCAGGAAAGGGUUGUUUCAGCCCAACGCAGUGCAGCUCCUAGGUGAGACUUGAUGCGUGGGUCAUUCUGGAGGACUGCCCAGGUCACAUAAGGGGUCCAUAAUGGUGACCCUGGAGAAAGACUUGCAUCUGUCCCACUGGCCCUGGACCCAUGUCCCUCAGCCAGGUGCUCAGUACCUGAUGGGUUGAAGCUCGGGCCCUUUCUGGUGCCCUGGUGUCCUGCACUGAGCUUGUGAGCUCUUCUGCCAGGUGGGCCUGUGGCCUCAGGUGGCAUAGGAUUCAGUGGCAGGGAGGGCCAAGGGUUCCUCACGAUCAUGACUGUCACUGUUUUACAUGGAUCCCAUCUCAUGAGUCCAUGGAGAAAGAGCCUGUGUGAGCCAGCACCCCUGCCCACUUUCCCGCAUGGAGGCAUGAGGCCCUGUUUGGACACCUGUCCCCCGUC